AAUUGCAUGCAUGCUUACAAUACACAUUAGUUUAGUAGCAGGCCUGAGCGGAGGCCCAAGCGGCUUCUACUUCAUUUUUGAGACCAGCGGCGGUUUACUCUAUUUAAGUGAUUGGUGACGAGGGUCAAUAAUUAGCCCUAUUAGCCCAAAGGGACCCUGAGGUGUUAAGUUUAUUAUAGAAUAGAGAAGUUAGAUGUCUGUUUAUAGCCAUUAAAAAAGUACAAGAUGUAUCCUUGUCUGUCACCUUGUCUGUCACCUAUGUAUUUUUGUAUUCUGUUGACGUGGGGGAGUGAUCCUCAUUGCUAUAUAAACUGUACCCCUUGUAUUCUCAUCAGAGGAAGCUGAUGUUGCCUCUCCUGGGUUAAUAAACUCAUCGUCUGAUUGCAUUUUUCUGGGGCCUCUGUCGUUUGUUCUCUGGUCUACAGUUGAUUGAUCUCGCGACAGAAGUCAAAUAGAAAGGUCAGAGGUCAAAUGUGGUAUUAAAUCCUAAUGUGGUACAUUCUUAUGUUGACAACACACACCAUACUUGUAAGAAUCCAAUGUAUAAGAUAAAUUAUAAGGCUUUUUAUAAGGUGUUUCUCUAUGAAAAUAGUUAAGAUCAUCAUGCAAAUACAUAGGAAGGCUCUUCUUUGUAUCUACCAACAGAGGCGUUAUGGUCACACUUUGCCUAAAGGAAGAGGUUCAGGUGCUAUUCUUUUUUUUAAAUCUUGAAAGCACCAGUUUCCGGAUGAGCACCCUAAGUAGAAUGAUCAAACUUUCAAUAACGAAAGAAAGUAAAGCGUCUGUCUGAUAUAAUCUGUAGCAGACAAUGGUUUCCUUGCGUAUAUGGUGCAAUUCCCGGGUCUAUAAUCAAGUAACAACAAGUCUUUGAGGGUAAGACAUAACAGUAACAGUAGAUGGUAAACAUGAAUCCGCAUUCUGUUUAUUUAAAGAUUUAACUUGUAUGGUCAUCUGUAGGGUGUAGCUGUAGGAACCCCAGAGUGCACCAAGAUGCUCCAGUCCUCCAGGUGGAAAGAGUAGUGGAAUAUUUGCUGAACCUGAGCCUGCUGCUCAACCACAGAGACCCAUACCUCCAGGUGGACCAACCAGCAACAUACUUGGGCCUGCAGUCACUGCACCUACACAAAGUCCAAGCCGAAGCCACCCAAAUAAGUCAAAGGACAAUCUAAGUGUGGGACCUGAACCUGAAUCACCAGUUCCUCAAGCUCCCGAAGCCAAAGCCAGCAAGCCUGUGUCGAAAGAAGAAACAGCACCUCCAGUCGAUGCACCAGCAGAGGAAGAGCCAACCGCUGCCCGUGCCGCUGCGCUCUCGGCACCCUCGGAGCCUGAACCCACGCCUUCCUCAUUUCCUGAUGACACUUCCCAGAAGAACUACAAGCCCCACCUGCGACUCAAGCCUCGCUCCCACAACAGGGUCCUCAACUCUCCUGGAGGAAAGUCUAGUGUGGUAUUCUACUGAUCAGCUGAGCAUGCCACCUCUCCCAGUUUGUGUCCAGAAACCUCUUUGUCUGCUCCCCUGUUAAUCUUCUCUCAAUCCUACACUGCUCUAUUGAUGGUCAUGUGAUCUGUACACCUCAAUACAGCCCAGUUAUUGUUGUUGUUCACACCUGACGUCUGUCUCAUAAGUUGUCCUCAACAUCAAUCAUCAAUGAAGCAGCUGAAUGGCAGCUGCCACCUUAUCACUUUAACUGUAACACUUUUCGGUCUGAACUUUGCAGUUACUGUUUUCGUCGUUUGUGUUACAAGCAUUUGUAAGUGUAAUUUGUUUGGAGGCACAACUGACUGCCAACUUAUCGACUUUGUCGCUAUAUUUAGCAAGUUUUCAGACCUAUUCUAUUUUUUCUAAAAAGCGACUGGCGACAAAUCUGGCAACUUUUUCUGUUGUUAUUGGAGACAUUUUGAUUUCACAUCAGCAGGUGUUGCCAUGGGCACCUCGCCCUUGCCAAAGUGCUCACAGGCGGCAGAUAGUUCUCACGCAGCAGUCGCCCCCAGCUGCUGUCAGAGCAGGAGAUGUUCACCCCUAUGCGUACAAACUGCAAAUGAAUCACACAUGAGCAAAGCCGUUGCUCCUCCCCCACUGUAACACAGGGCAGGAGCAGCGGCAAAUGUACAUUUUUCUUUAUCUAAAAUAAAUCAGUGCACUAUAA